rnacentral:rRNA from 1 species
GACGAACGCUGGCGGCGUGCUUAACACAUGCAAGUGGGACGCAAGGGAACACACUGUGCUUGCACACCGUGUUUUCUUGAGUCGCGAACGGGUGAGUAACGCGUAGGUAACCUGCCUAUUAGCGGGGGAUAACUAUUGGAAACGAUAGCUAAUACCGCAUAAUAUUAAUUAUUGCAUGAUAAUUGAUUGAAAGAUGCAAGCGCAUCACUAGUAGAUGGACCUGCGUUGUAUUAGCUAGUUGGUAAGGUAAGAGCUUACCAAGGCGACGAUACAUAGCCGACCUGAGAGGGUGAUCGGCCACACUGGGACUGAGACACGGCCCAGACUCCUACGGGAGGCAGCAGUAGGGAAUCUUCGGCAAUGGACGAAAGUCUGACCGAGCAACGCCGCGUGAGUGAAGAAGGUUUUCGGAUCGUAAAGCUCUGUUGUAAGUCAAGAACGUGUGUGAGAGUGGAAAGUUCACACAGUGACGGUAGCUUACCAGAAAGGCGG